rnacentral:rRNA from 1 species
CAGUAGCCGCGGGAACACGUAGGUCCCGAGCGUUGUCCGGAUUUAUUGGGCGUAAAGCGAGCGCAGGCGGUUAGAUAAGUCUGAAGUUAAAGGCUGCGGCUUAACCAUAGUACGCUUUGGAAACUGUUUAACUUGAGUGCAAGAGGGGAGAGUGGAAUUCCAUGUGUAGCGGUGAAAUGCGUAGAUAUAUGGAGGAACACCGGUGGCGAAAGCGGCUCUCUGGCUUGUAACUGACGCUGAGGCUCGAAAGCGAGGGGAGCAAACAGGAUUAGAUACCCCAGUAGUCCCUGUCUCUUAUACC